UACGUAGGGGGCAAGCGUUGUCCGGAAUCAUUGGGCGUAAAGAGCGUGUAGGCGGCUCGAUAAGUCUGCUGUGAAAGUCCAGGGCUCAACCCUGGAAGGCCGGUGGAAACUGUCGGGCUAGAAUCCGGAAGAGGCGAGUGGAAUUCCCGGUGUAGCGGUGAAAUGCGCAGAUAUCGGGAGGAACACCAAUGGCGAAGGCAGCUCGCUGGGACGGUACUGACGCUGAGGCGCGAAAGCGUGGGGAGCAAACAGG
rnacentral:rRNA from 1 species